AAUCGUUGGGCCGGACCUCUAAAGAGAAGUUUGAUGAAACAUUACCGCGCCCACCUUUACUCCACAACUUUAAAGCUAAAGUCUGUUGCCAGCUCUUCAGAGAAACAGCUAGGAUAUUGUCAUCUAUCGGGUUAUACGGGGUAUUCAUAAAAACGACCGGGUUUCAUAAUAAAACGCAGUAGAGGAAAAAAGCCUUCGUUGAGUCGCCGCAGCCCUUGGUUGUGACAGACGGUUCAAGGAACAGACGCUUAUGCACUCGAGCAGAUGACUUGUUCUCCGAGCAACGGUUCGUAAUAAGCUCGUAAGGUGCGAAGCACUGGUGUGCGACGUGUGUGUAAAAUGGACGCUCAAUCAGCACAAGACACGUCAAAGAUAGCACUGUUUCAGACGUAUACUGCAGCAUUCCAUGACACGGUACCGGCAUGGUAAUCCCAGUUCUUCUCGUCUCCAUGGACAUCCUAUCCAUAAACGAGGGUUCAUAUAAAACAGAGUACGGUGUGCCACAAGACCUACAAGCAUAAAGUGCACUCUCCGUGAUGGUGUAUGAGAAACUGCUCGACAAGACCGUGCAUUUUCGUCGACGUUUUCUCACAAAAGUUGCUCCUGAAAUAGAGUAAAAUAUUCGGCUAAUUGAAGACAAUUCCCACGCCUCGAAGGCAAAAACGAUCGACUAUUGGUGGUAAAGUUACCUUUUAGAUUGAGAAUUAUGACUGUCUGGGCCAUAUUACGAGUGAAAUGCGAUAAAUAAUUUUUAAUCGUUGAACCAUACAACCCGUACACUUUCAGUGCGUUACAUUGCUAAACCGGUGUACAGUAAUAUCGCUAAACAUCGUACACUUUCAUGAAGUCAACAUGUUUUGCAAUGUAUCUCAGCAAAAGGGCAUGCAUAUUACUUGUUACUUCGUCAGUCUUUAUUGUUAGCUUUUUAGUACAUGAUAGCCAUGCAAAAAUGGCGU